rnacentral:other from 1 species
ACUGGCCUGCAAAGCAGGUAUGUUUGGUCACGCCGGUUGAACCUAUAAUUCAUUGAACAAGGGAGCUCGACUCGACAAUCGGCUCGGUGCGCAGUGUCCGCCAGUUCGGAAUGCCUAAAGAGCCGCGGAGAGUUCCCACCGUCUUAGGACGGGUUCACCGGCAAGCCAGCGUACGGCCCCGCGGGUCAGUU